rnacentral:snoRNA from 1 species
UGCAAAUGAUGAAUACAAAAAAAUUUUAACUUUCGUUCUUCUGUAUCGUUAGAAGUGAAGAUAAUCUUUGUGUCUGAUGCAA